rnacentral:RNase_P_RNA from 1 species
CUAAUGAUGAGGUAAAGUCCGGGCUCCUUCGGAAAAAAUGCCGGGUAACAACCGGGCAAAACUUGGUAACUACAUAAAUUCUUGUAUAGUCCGGUUUUGACAGAUAGUGCAACAGAAAUAUUACCGCCAUGAAAAUGGUAAGGGUGAAAAGGCAGUGUAAGAGACUACCGCAUAAUUGGUAACAAUUAUGGCUUGAAAACCUCAUUUGGAGCAAGAUUAAGCAGCAGUUAGUUGUUUCCGAGCAAUACUGCGGGUAAAUCGCUAGAGGCAUUUGGCAACAAAUGUCGCGGAUAGAUGGUUAUUAGUAAAACAUUUUUGUUUUAUGAGACAGAACCCGGCUUAUUGUCCCAUUUG